rnacentral:rRNA from 1 species
UACGUAGGGGGCAAGCGUUGUCCGGAUUUAUUGGGCGUAAAGAGCGUGUAGGCGGCCUGACAGGUCUGCUGUGAAAACUCGAGGCUCAACCUCGAGAUGUCGGCGGAAACCGUCUGGCUAGAGUCCGGAAGAGGAGAGUGGAAUUCCUGGUGUAGCGGUGAAAUGCGCAGAUAUCGGGAGGAACACCUAUGGCGAAGGCAGCGCGGUGGGACGUUACUGACGCUGAGACGCGAAAGCGUGGGGAGCGA